rnacentral:lncRNA from 1 species
UUUAUUACAUCAUAAGAAGCAAAAUACAAGCAUACUUGGGCAUUAAAGCUUAGAAGAAGAGAUGGGUAUGUUAUGUCCAUGUUUAGAGAACACUGUCUACUGAGCUGAUAUGGCAACAUACACAGUGACACAAUCCAUAGACCUUAAGCUUGGAGUGGGAUUUGAAGUGUGCGCUUUUCAUCUGAAUUACAAAAAGAGAUGUCUAAGCAAGAAGAAUUAACUAGAGCCAGAGGCACAUGCAUUUAUCAACUUUGAGCCCUG